GUCAAGAAGGAAGGCUUAACCCC
rnacentral:piRNA from 1 species